rnacentral:rRNA from 1 species
GGCUCAGGAUGAACGCUAGCGGCAGGGCCUAACACAUGCAAGUCGAGGGGUAGAGUUCUUCGGGACUUGAGACCGGCGCACGGGGUGCGUAAGCGUAUGCAAUCUACCUUAUACAGGGGAAUAGCCCAGAGAAAUUUGGAUUAAUGCCCCAUAGUGUUAUCGAAUCGCAUGGUUUGAUAACUAAAGUUCCAACGGUAUAAGAUGAGCAUGCGUCCCAUUAGCUAGAUGGUAAGGUAACGGCUUACCAUGGCUACGAUGGGUAGGGGUCCUGAGAGGGAGAUCCCCCACACUGGUACUGAGACACGGACCAGACUCCUACGGGAGGCAGCAGUGAGGAAUAUUGGACAAUGGGCGCAAGCCUGAUCCAGCCAUGCCGCGUGCAGGAUGACGGUCCUAUGGAUUGUAAACUGCUUUUAUACAGGAAGAAACACUACUUCGUGAAGUAGCUUGACGGUACUGUAAGAAUAAGGAUCGGCUAACUACGUG